rnacentral:rRNA from 1 species
CCUACGGGAGGCAGCAGUGGGGAAUAUUGCACAAUGGGGGAAACCCUGAUGCAGCGACGCCGCGUGAGUGAAGAAGUAAUUCGUUAUGUACAGCUCUUUUAACAGGGAAGAAAGAGAAAUUUGACGGUACCUGACGAAUAAGAUCCGGCUAACUACGUGCCAGCAGCCGCGGUAAUACGUAGGGAGCGAGCGUUAUCCGGAUUUCGUGGGCGUAAAGGGUGCGUAGAUGGCAUAGUAAGUCUUUUGUAAAAAUGCUGGGCUAAACCCAGUAGGGCAAAAGCUACUGCAAAGCUAGAGUAUGACAGAGGCAAGUGGAACUACAUGUGUAGCGGUAAAAUGCGUAAAUAUAUGUAAGAACACCAGUGGCGAAGGCGGCUUGCUGGCUCGAUACUGACAUUGAGGCACGAAAGCGUGGGGAGCAAACAGGAUUAGAUACCCCAGUAGUC